CCUGGGCUGAGAUAGUUUGAAGGGAAUAUCGCUUUUUCCUGUAGAAAAGACCAUUCUCAGGACCAGAAGAGAUGAUAUUCCUUCUCUAGACAACCCUAGAAGAAUGAGAUAGAAGCUUCAUUUUAUAGGUCCAGGAAUUGGUUUUCUCUGCUCAUUAGCAAGAUAUCUGAGGAAAUUUGGAAGAGGCUUCUACAUUAUCUCCUCCUCUAUAGUACAACAGUACACCAGCAUGUCACUGGUAAGGACCCAAAUUCAGG